CCAUGGAGUACAGUUGUUGUAAAAUGGUCUGAGACUUUCGAAGUUCGUAAGCAUUCGAAACAUUUAACUUUGCACGAUUUUAUGAAUGAGUGGACGAUUUUAAACGAUUUACGAAGCACUGCUUUGAUUUUGAAUGAUUUUGAACUUUUAUUUCCUAAUAAUGGAGUUAAUUUGGAAAAAGAUUGGCCCAUAUUUUUUGAAAGAGUGAAAACGCUUCAUAGCAAAAGGUAUCAAGAAGAUUCAUUGGUGCAAUCAUGGAAAGUCCGAUUGAAUGAACUGGAGGGCAAUAAUCUUGACCUAAAACUUCCACUCCAACUCAACAUUGUGGGCCAUCUAAUACCACCUAGGGGACGACGAUCGAAAAAAAUAAAACAUAGUUUAAAAGAAGCUUUAAAUAAUAUUUUCGUAAUA